CCUCAUUUUACAUCACAAAUUCAAAAGUCUUCUUUUUUUUCCUAAACUCCGUGCCCAGUCAAAUGAGUUCACAUAAAUAAAAAUGGAGUACAAAAGAAAAAAUAAAAAAAUAAAAACUAACACAAUAAUUCUGUCACAUAUGAGUCUUUUUAUGGUCACAUAUUAAUGAAUUUAACAAUACAACAUUUAAGUAACAAUAACAAAAUAUUUUAUUUAAAAUAACAAUAAAAUAGAAUACAAUAUAGGAAUACACAAUCCAAACAGCUAGAUGCCAUUUUGUCCGAUCUCCUCCCAAAUUUUCAAAAGUAUUUCCCAUGCCCAUCCUCAGCAGCCCUAAAAGCAAUUGUCACCACAUCCACUGCGUACACAUUGAGGGAAUUUACAGUUUAGCAAUUUUUCAAGAAUAGAAUAAAAGAAGAAGAAGAAGAAGAAAGAAAAAUUAAUUAAGGGUCUCUUAGAACCAUACUAAUGACUUCUCAUAUUUGGAUUAGGGGAAGGAUAGGUAUUGCUCCAAGUCACCCUGUUACUGCGACCUCGGACUAAAUCAUUCCUAUCUUCUUCUGGCAUAUGUAGGAAUAAACAUCAUUGAAAAUAUGAUUAAAUAAAUAGAAAUAAAUUCUUUAUAAAAGCUUAAACUUUCAGAUAAGUUGGUCGUACAUACACUUUAACUACAUUUACCUUCGGAUUUGAUAGGGGACAGCUCCAAAAUCCUGGCUUGGCUUUGUAGACACCACUCAUCCAUUGAUAACAUGAGAAUUAUUACAAGAAGACAAUAGAAUACAGCAACCUUCUUCAUUUCUGGAUAUUGCAAAUUUAACGUACCACAAUGUUUGUUUAAAUAUAGAAAUAAAUGUUUUGAGAUAUGUUAAUUUGUAGUUGU
rnacentral:lncRNA from 1 species